rnacentral:sRNA from 2 species
CUGAAUGAUCGCUAGGGUUCCGUGUCAGGCGUGGUCGCCCACCUGACGGUCUGGUCCGAGAGCAAUCGGCCACGGUGAUGUGGCUCCACGGAGGGACAAAAGCCCGGGAGAU